CAGAUGUAAAGCAGGAUACUCAGGAGAGAGAUGCCAUAUAUUCACGCUACCGGUUAGUAAGGAGAAACAGCGUUACAGCCGGACCACAGCUCUAGCGGUCAUAGCGGUGGUCCUGUCCCUCAUGUGUCUCGCAGUUAUCGCUAUUCUGCUGGCACUAAGGUACCACAAAAAAGAUGACGCUGAUGUAGAAAGUGAAGAAAAGGUCAAACUUGAAGCAACGUCAGUGCAGAAGUGAUAAGGGAAGAAAGGAAGAAGAAACCCAGAAGGACAUGUGACCCAUGGAUAGAUAGCACUGAGGACUGAGGAGUAAGCAGGGGCACAAAUACUUUUCAAAAAUCCUUGCCCCCGUUCAAAUUGUCCUGCAGUCAUAGCGGCUGUCUACACUGGCAUGAAGGAUGUUUUGAAUGCUGCUUCCAUGUGCAGUAAAAUGUCCUUUUCAACCUAUUCUCCUUGUGGAGAACAUACAGAGAGGACUGAACCGGAUGAAUGUGUGGCAACUUUAAUCAAGUUGCUUUUUUGUUCGUUGCUUAUUUAUUUAUUCUAAAAAGGGUAUUUCUGGUUUCUCCCAUCAGUUUAAAUCUACACUCUAAAAAA